AGCAGUAGCCGCGGUAAUACAGAGGGUGCGAGCGUUAAUCGGAUUUACUGGGCGUAAAGCGUGCGUAGGCGGCUUCUUAAGUAGGAUGUGAAAUCCCUGAGCUUAACUUAGGAAUUGCAUUCGAUACUGGGAAGCUAGAGUAUGGGAGAGGAUGGUAGAAUUCCAGGUGUAGCGGUGAAAUGCGUAGAGAUCUGGAGGAAUACCGAUGGCGAAGGCAGCCAUCUGGCCUAAUACUGACGCUGAGGUACGAAAGCAUGGGGAGCAAACAGGAUUAGAUACCCCGGUAGUCCCUGUCUCUUAUAC
rnacentral:rRNA from 1 species